GACCCAUUUUUACAAUUUUUCCCACCAACAAAUCCACAGGCGUAAAACCUUAUUCGCGCCCUCGUUCUCAGGGAUAAAAUUAUUCGCCGACCCAAAGUUUUAGAAUUUAUGUUUCGUUUUCUUAUUCAUUCCCAAAAUAGCCUUCUAAUAUACUAUUCUUCUUCGUUUCUGUUUCGUUUAUUUUCAGAAACAUUUUAUUCUGAUCUCACCGCGGAGGAUUUGAGAGAUUGAUCGUCUGAAAUUCAAUCUUACGAUGAAGAUUAUCAUCUAUUGUUAAAUAUGAUCAAUAGAAAUCGCAAGAUAAGUUCCUUCUAUCAACAACUUUUUGUUUUCCUGAAAAUGGUUUUAUGAUUUCGGGAAUUUUAAACUUCUGAUUACAACUCAAUUUGUUAGUCUAAUCUUGAUCGGAGUAAGGAUCUUUCUUCAUCUAAUCUUGAUUUGUCUUUUGAGAUAAAAAUUUCGAAAAAAGAAUUAGGAAAUUGUUUCUAGGGUUAUUGACUGAAAUUUAAUUUACUCCCUAUUUUUAGUAUUGAUCGAAAAAAUAUAAACCAGAUUUGAAUUUAGGACAUCUUAACUAUUGUUACCAUUAAAUCAAUUCGAAUUUUGUUAAUUUUUAAUUUUCAAAAUGAAAAUGCAAAAAAGAAAUCUACGGGUCUUUGCUACUAAAACCCUAAGCCGAAGAUUACUUACUAAUUUGGAUCCCAAGUUACAAUCUACUAGAGUUAUUUUUAUUAUUCGCUGGAGAAUCUAGGGUUUCCAAGAGCUCUUAUGGCAAAUUCUAGCUAAUUGCAGGAAGAAUUUUUGUUCAUUAAAUGAAAACUCUGGGAGAUGCUGGAAUUGUGGUGUUGUUGCCGUGUCUAGAAUGUUUCUCUCUUGUGAAUCUUGUAAAAGCUUUCAACCGGUUCAUACUUCCGUGGAUUAUUUCCAUAUUUUCGGAUUCAGGGAGAAAGUAUUUGAGAUAGAGGAUACCAAUCUGGAGAAAACAUAUAAAGAAUGGCAGAAGAAACUAAUUCAUCCUGAUUUGGUUCAUACGAAAUCUGAGUCAGAUUUGGAACGUGGUUGUCAAGCUUUAAAGGAUCCAGUUCUAGAUGGUGCAAACCUUAAAGGGUAUGCGUAUUUGGAGUCUUAUUCGUGAUUCAAAUGGGUUUAAAACAUAACACUAAAAGAGGAAAGACAAUAUCCAUUUCAGGAAUUGGAUGAAGAACCUAAUCCGAACUACUACAAGAUCAAAUUCUUGAUUCUAGAGUAUCUGAAUGCCGCUUGGGAGUUAGCGAGGAGCUUAACAAUGGGAUACACUCAUGGACCUGAGUACAAGGAGGGUUGGUUUUGCAUCUUGCUAAGGCUUAUGGGAUUAGCACUCCCUGGCAUUUCAGCUUAUUGCCCCACAGACUACGUUAAGUCUGUCAGGCUCGGGAGAAUGUCAUCAUCCUCGUAUUCUUCCUCCAUCUAGAUAUCCCUCCAGAAGAUCAAAAUAUGUGUCUGCUAUAAUUCUAAAUGAAGAAUAAAACUUGCAGUGUCCUUACUUCAGAUCUGGAACGUGGUUGUCAAGCUUUAAAGGAUCCAGUUCUAGAUGAUGCAAACCUUAAAGUGUAUGUGUAUUAUAAGUUUUGUUCGUGAUCCAAGUGAGUUCAAAAGAGAACACCAAAAGAAGGACUAGCUAUUUCAGGUGAAUACACUUUGGGGGUUUGUUAUGUAUAACAGGUUAUGCAGCAAACUGGAAGGGUGCAUAACAGGUCAUGCUGCCAUCUUUAAAGGGUGCAUAACAAGUUAUGCAACUACUUUAACUUGUAUAACUUGUUUUGCAGAUUAAAUUAACUAAAUAACUUGUUACGCAACCACUUUGAGCCGUUAUAAUAUUUCUGAAAAUGAAUUUUUACAGUAGUUUAAUUUAUGGACACUUGGCAGCUUUGUAUGUUAGGAUUGAUCUAUGUUGAGAAUUUGGUGGAAAGAGGGAACACUAGUUUAAAUAUCAUGGAAAUGAAUUUUCACAGUAGUUUAAUUUAUGGAAACUUGGCAGCUUUGAAAGAUAGGAUUGAUCUUUGCACAAUGCUAAUUUUUUUAUUAGUGUGACUUGCAGUUGCUUAUUGUCCUCUUUUAUCGUAUUAUGUCAGCAGUUUAAACCCUUAGUUCUUCCGUUUUGGUUGUUGAUUCAUGGAUAUGCAUUAUUAUUGUGUGAUGGCUUUUAUACUCAUGCCUAAAGACACCCAUGACCCAUGUAUCAAAUGCUUUUGUAAAGUUGGUUUUACACAAGUGUUUCUAUCGUCUUUCACCUGUCCACACAAAGAAGGUGCAUUUUAGUGCUCACUAGUUUGAGUGUAAACUAAAUAAGAGUUCUGAGAUUAAUACUCCUCCUAGGAUGUUGUCUAUAUCUUGCUUGUGAUUAAACCUUGUGAUGGUAUGUUGAAUCUGGUAUUCCGCGUGGAUCAUAGAGUAACAUCAACUGAGUACACACGGUUGGGUCGAAGAUACAAAAUUGAUGAUUUGAUACAAUUUAUGACCAACUCCAGGCAUCUUUGUAGGGUGCAUAACAUGUCAUGCAGAAGUAGCUGCAUAAUUUUUGCAGCAAUCUGAGAUGGGGGAGUAUAACAGGUUAUGUAACUAUCUUUGAAAGGUUCGUAACUUGUUAUGCAGCCAUUUUGACGGCGGAGGUGGUGGUACCGACAACGGUGGUGGAAGGUAGUGCUGGCGGCGGCGGAGGUGGUGUUGCCGGCGGUGGUGAUGUUGUUAUUGGGGCGGCAACGGUGGUGCUGUUGUUGGGGCAGGUAGCGGCGGCGGUGUUGGCGGAGAUGGUGGUGCUGGUGUUGACGAUGGCGGUGGACGGUGGUGUAGUUCAUAACCAUUUUUGCAUAAUUUGUUAUGCAUCCUUCGUGUUGUCUGUAUAAUGUGUUAUGCAUCAUUUAUGGUGGCUGCAUAAUGGUAAUGUAUCCAGUUUUCGGAAUUUCUCAUUAAAAUGAUAAUCACUCCCGAUUUUUUCGUAAAAAAUUCAAAUUUGAUAUUGUUGUUUAUGCUCGUUUUGUAGAGCUCUUUAGAAGCUUUCUAACGAGAUAAAAUUUAUAAAAUUUCAAGGGACGGUUUUUUACA